GAAGAAAAACUUCAUUUCGAAAGCCCAAAGGCGACCUAUGAAGCGGCCUUUCAAUAGUAGCAGACCGUUUUUGCAAGUAGUUUUAAUGCUCAGACGAGCAAAAGAGGGAGCUAGAGAAAGCGAGGGAGGUAGGUGGCGCUGAGCUGUGCGUGUCGGCGCAGGGUCGGGUGGAGUUAGAGCGGAGCGGCGGCCGUCGAUUUGGGCGUGGGGGCGCUACGUCUUCUGCCGCGUCAGGACCAAGUGGCCGCCGUGGCGGAGGGGGUCGUGGCGGCGCCUCAGCGUCGGGAGGGACGAGCGGCUGACCUUGAGGAUGCGGCGGUGGGCGAGCCUGCAGAGGAGGAGGAGGGGGGAGGGCAAACUGUAGCUCCGGCGGCAGGCGAGGCGGUUGCUGUGGCAGAGGCCGUGGAAGUUACACCACAGGUUCCCGCACGCGCUCGACGGCCCCUCGAAGGUCCCGCGGUGGUCGUCGAAGGGGAGCCCCUUCCGCGAGUACAUGAAGCCCGAGAAGGAGCGGUGGCCGUAGAAGAAGCAGAAGUAGCGGAAGUGCGAGAAGGAUGGCCAGUACCACGAGUACGGCGUCUUCAAGCGAUAGACGAAGUGCGAACCGACACGAGAGUAGUAGCGCAGUGAGAAGCGCGAGUUUCCGGGGCCGUUGGUCAAGCGGGUAUACUGCAGCUUUCUCUCCGAUGGCAAAUGUCACCCCAAGUGACCUACGUACCAACCGUGCUAUAUACAGAGAUACCACGAAGUGUCGAUAAAAGACAGCCACUAUAAGAGCUAGGAGGUCCAGGAGCGAGAACGAAUGAUGUGGUAUAGGAUGAAGGGACCUCCGAGAUCACCUAACUUCAAAGAGAGCAGUUCAGAGGACAGAGGUCAUAGUUCUUAAAAAUCGAGCAUUGGGAUCACCUUGUUUAUACAUACACUACUAGUGUGGGCACGGGAACAUUAAGGACUUCAUAGAAAACAUAGAUCAACGACUAGCUGGCUUUCAUAGAACAGGACUAGCUGUGUACUAUCUCUAUAGUCUAUGGCACUGGGGAAGGAAGUAAGGAAAGGUGACGGUAAAUGUCUACAAUCCGUACGCAACCCGCACCUAGCUUUUUCCAAACAACUCGAUGACAUACACUUCAAGGUAACAAUCGAAUAGAACACGUUUAUUUCAAUAUAAUGACGUCUAAAUGCCCG
rnacentral:rRNA from 1 species